GGAAUAAAAGUCGUAACAAGGUCUCCGUAGGUGAACCUGCGGAGGGAUCAUUACAGAGUUCAUGCCCUACCGGGUAGAUCUCCCACCCUAUGUUAUUAUUACUUUGUUGCUUUGGCGGGCCGUUAGGCUCCGGCCCGACUACCGGCCCCGGCUGGUAAGCGCCCGCCAGAGGACCCAAAACCCUGAAUAUUAGUGUCGUCUGAGUACUAUAUAAUAGUUAAAACUUUCAACAACGGAUCUCUUGGUUCUG
rnacentral:misc_RNA from 1 species